rnacentral:rRNA from 1 species
AUCCUACGGGGCGCAGCAGUGAGGAAUAUUGGGCAAUGGGCGCAAGCCUGACCCAGCAACGCCGCGUGAAGGAAGAAGGCUUUCGGGUUGUAAACUUCUUUUGUCAGGGACGAAGCAAGUGACGGUACCUGACGAAUAAGCCACGGCUAACUACGUGCCAGCAGCCGCGGUAAUACGUAGGUGGCAAGCGUUAUCCGGAUUUACUGGGUGUAAAGGGCGUGUAGGCGGGGAAGCAAGUCAGAUGUGAAAACCACGGGCUCAACCUGAGGCCUGCAUUUGAAACUGUUUUUCUUGAGUAAUGGAGA